rnacentral:lncRNA from 10 species
AUGGUGUGCCGGGGGCCGCGCGGGCCGGGAGUUGGGUGGGCUGGGGGACAGGCGCGCCCGCGCCGCCCGCUCCAGCUGGGCUAGUGCUGCACAUUCCGGCCAGCCCCUCCUCAAGACCCCAUUCCCAAGCCCCUUCUCAGCUCCCUCGGGCCGGCAGAGCGGCUCUGAUCAGGUCAGCGGCGGACGCCGGGAAGAGGCCCGGCUUGGGAGAGGUGGUUUGUAAAAUGCUGUUGAAGGCCCACGGGCAUGACUGCACCCCUCACUAAUUGGUCAUUGGUUUGGGGAGGACACCACUGUCCCAGUGGAACCUUGAGCACACCUUGGAGCCCUCCUCUUCCUCUCCGGACCUGUGCCAAACUGUGAGUGGCACAGAGCAAGGACUGUAUGUGUUCUCUUCUUUGUUGCAUACUCAGUUCCUUGACCACAGUGCCAAGCACACAGCGAGCACUCCCUGUGUAUCUGCUGAGUAAAUAAACGAAUGAACAAACCCAAC